rnacentral:rRNA from 1 species
GAUGAACGCUGGCGGCGUGCCUAAUACAUGCAAGUCGAGCGAAUGGAUUAAGAGCUUGCUCUUAUGAAGUUAGCGGCGGACGGGUGAGUAACACGUGGGUAACCUGCCUAUAAGACUGGGAUAACUCCGGGAAACCGGGGCUAAUACCGGAUAACAUUUUGAACCGCAUGGUUCGAAAUUGAAAGGCGGCUUCGGCUGUCACUUAUGGAUGGACCCGCGUCGCAUUAGCUAGUUGGUGAGGUAACGGCUCACCAAGGCAACGAUGCGUAGCCGACCUGAGAGGGUGAGAGGCCACACGGGGACUGAGACACGGCCCAUACUCCUACGGGAGGCAGCAGUAGGGAAUCUUCCGCAAUGGACGAAAGUCUGACGGAGCAACGCCGCGUGAGUGAUGAAGGCUUUCGGGUCGUAAAACUCUGUUGUUAGGGAAGAACAAGUGCUAGUUGAAUAAGCUGGCACCUUGACGGUACCUAACCAGAAAGCCACGGCUAACUACGUGCCAGCAGCCGCCGUAA